rnacentral:rRNA from 1 species
AACGAACGCUGGCGGCAUGCCUAACACAUGUAAGUCGAACGAGACCUUCGGGUCUAGUGGCGCACGGGUGCGUAACGCGUGGGAACCUGCCCUUAGGUUCGGAAUAACUCCCCGAAAGGGGUGCUAAUACCGGAUAAUGUCUUCGGACCAAAGAUUUAUUGCCUUUGGAUGGGCCCGCGUUGGAUUAGCUAGUUGGUAGGGUAAAAGCCUACCAAGGCGACGAUCCAUAGCUGGUCUGAUAGGAUGAUGGGCCACACUGGGGCUGAGACACGGCCCAGACUCGGACGGGAGGCAGCAGGGGGGAAUAUAGCACAAUGGGCGGCAGCAUGAUGCAGCAACGCUGUGUGCGGGAAGACUGCAUUCGGGUUGGAAAGAGCUUUCGCCUGUGACGAAGCGGGAGUGAGGGGAAUGGGUAAAGAAGCACCGGCUAACUACGUG